rnacentral:lncRNA from 1 species
GCCUAGCCCAAAUUAAUAACCCAAUAAAAUAUAACACCAGCCCAAAUAAACCUGCAAAUAGUGAGCUCCGUUACCGAAGAAAAUAGUCGGAAAGAAAGAGUCCGUCGGUCGUCGCCUCCGCAAAUCCGACACAGAAGAAAUUUCCUACUUUUUGUCACUGUCCCCUAAUUACGACGUCAUCUACAUCGUCAAUUGAUGAACGACAAGCUGUGGAUUAAAAAAAAUUGACUCGACUACACCAGUUACUCGUCUCCAGAAGAAGAUACGAAACCCUCCAAUGUUCGGAGGUUGCAACACCGUUAAUCAUGGUGGGUCAGAAGGAAAAAGAAGCCAGAACACCAAAAUAAAAUUGUAAGAUUUCUGACCGGACUCUUGCAACACCCAAAAAUAUUAAGAAAAUUGCAGUAUCGUAGGAGGCUCUAAUACCAUGUUAGGAUUGUCUGAAUGCCUCUCAAUUGAGAGUUUCUUCUCAUUAAAAGAAACUUUAUUCCUCAUUAUUGUCCCAAAUUACAGCUCGAGUAUUCUAUCAAAUCUCCCAAUUACCUCACUUUCCUAGUUAAAGCAUAAUCAUAUUUCAUAUAAAAGGAAAUAAAGACUACUCUAUAUUUACAACAUAAUUAUGCACAUAACACAUGUGAUAUGCUGACAAGACACCACUCUAUACUACAAUUCAUUCAACGCCACAUGGGGAUGAGUACAUUAACUAUAGACCCUUGCUUAAAUGCUACUGUGAAAUGCUUUCUAAUUGCACAUGCAAUAUACUACGUAGCAUUUCUAAUACUCAGCAAUCAGAUGCUAUUUUAAACUCCUCAUAGGACUCAAUGAAUCCUAAUCCUCAAUGAGAAGCUAAUUGCUACUAACUUCUCCACUUCCAUCACUAGCUUGAGUAUAUGCACUUCUUCAAGAAGAAACCCAAUGAGACAUGCGUACUUACUCAUUCCUAGAUUUAGUUGCAAUGAUAGCAAGAUAGCCCCCCCAGAGCAUUCAAUAGACCUCCAUCUUGGAAGGAUAGGAAAAAGCCCAAAUGCACUUACCGUGGUUAUCUCAAUCAUACUACAAAUAAAUGUUUCCAACUCAAUAGCUAUCCACCUGGUUGAAAAGGGCCUAGAGGAUCACGAAUGCUAGCUAAUACUCCUGCUGCCCAUGCUGUUACAUUAGACAAUUCUACAGAUGAUGGGGGACCAAAUACUUCAUUCAAUCAAGAUCUUUACCAACAAUUCUUUGUAUUUUUCCAAAACUUAGCAAAUCCUAUCCUCCAAGUCACAUAAUUUAACAACGGCCACCAUCACUGUAGGUAUCCUUUUCUAUAGUGCAACCUUUCUUAAACCAAAAACAACUUUUUGAAUAUGGUCUGUUGUACCUGUAUCAAUUAUCCAAGAAGUUUUUGGUUUGAAAAAGAUUGUUCACUAGCCUUUUUCACUUCCAUUGAUUCAAUCACAAUUACUAAUGUUAAUUUGCCAAAUGGUAGCUCUGUACUAGUUAGCCAUCUUGGCAAAAUUCAUAUGUCGAGCAAUUUAACACCUGAUAAUGCCCUAUGUGUACCUUCAUUUUCAUUCAAUCUUAUAUCAGUUUCCUAGCUAACAAAAUCUUUCAAUCUUUGAGUGUUAUUUUUUUGCCUGUAACUCUUUGUAUAAGAUCUGUCCACCUUCAAGAUGAUUGGUUUUCUAAGGAAAACGAAACCUAUAUCAUUGCUGAUUGUGGAAAAUGAGGGCCUAUAUCAUCUCCUAAUUGUUCAUGAUCAAUCUCUUACAUAUCAGCCUAUCACCAACAUUCUAAUAGUCAAUGCUUCUCAACAUUCCAGACAUAAUUUAUGGCACCUUAGACUUGGCCACAUAUCCAAUGCAAAAAUGUCAAAAUUCCACACAUUGCUUCUCAAAUACUUUGUAACAAUUUACAUAUAUGUGAAAUCAGUCCUUUAGCAAAACAAAAGAACUUACCUUUCCUUAUCAGUGAUUAAAUCUCGAAUAAAAUUUUUGAUUUAGUUCAUUGCGACAUUCGAGGUCCAUUUACUAUACAUUCCUUUAAUGGUUACAGAUUUUUUCUCACCAUAGUUGAUGAUUAUUCUCGAUGCACUUGAGUUUUCAUGAUGCAAUCUAAAUCUGAAAUUUGUGUAUAUAUAUAUAUAUUUUAUCAAAUUGCCCUUACUCACUUCAAUACCAAAAUAAAGUCCAUUAGAUCAGAUAAUGGUGAUGAAUUUGUCAUGCUAGAUUUUUAUCUUUCUCACGGAAUCCUCCAUCAAAGAAGUUGUGUGGAUUCACUCCAACAAAAUGGAGUGGCGGAAAGAAAGCUCCAAUUUAUCCUUCAAGUGGUUAGAGCACUCCUCUUUCAAUCAAAUGUACCUCUCACCUGUUGGAGUGAUUGCACACUUACAACAGUUCACCUCAUAAAUCGUAUUCCAUCACCCAUUCUUGGCAAAAAAAAAAAAAAAAAACUCCUUAUGAGCAGCUCUUCCAAAAGCCACCAUAAUAUGACCAUCUUAAAACUUUUGGUUGCCUUUGCUUUGCAUCUAUACUCAAUGUUCACAAAUAAAGUUUUCUCCUCAAGCAUCCAAGUGCAUAUUUCUUGGAUACCCUCUUAGAUACAAAGGUUACAAAGUAUAUGAUUUACAAACUCAAAAAAUCUUUAUUAGCAGGAAUAUAAUUUUCCAUGAAAAUUCAUUUCCCUGCAAACAGUCCUCAUUACAUCACUCACCUACAAAUCCACACUUUUUUCCUAUACUUGAGCCUAUUUUUUAUUCCACAUCACAAACAACCCAAAUACUAGCCCUCAACAUCAUCUCUACUUCAUUUAUCUCAAAAACUGUCUUUGCCGAUACAAUUUGUGAUCAUGUUUCUUAACUAUCAUUGCCAGAAAAUCCCAAUUUUAGUCCUCUUUCACACUCUCCUGAGUUAUCAGACAUUAGCAUACCUAUUUCUCCCCCUUAACUUCCUCCUGACAAUCUAAUAGAACUAGACAUCUACUUUCUUAUCUAAAUGAUUAUCAUUGUGAUUUAUCCUCUUCUUUCACUGUAAUCCAGUCUUCUACAAUGCUGGCCAGACCAUGUGAUCAGGUAAACCUUAUUCCUUACCUCAUUUCAUUUCACCUAAUCGAUUAGCCCCCUAACAGUCUUUGAACCUAAAUUCACUCGACAAUCUGUCAAAUAUCCAUACUAGCAUGAAGCUAUGAAUACAGAAAUCAAAGCUCUUGAAAGAAUAAUACUUGGACCCUCAUGUAUCUGCCACAUGACAAACAUGUUAUUGGAUGCAAAUGUGUUUAUAAAGUUAAGUUCAAGGCAGGUGGCACUAUGGAAAGAUACAAAGCGCGGCUGGUUGUUAAAGGAUAUACUUAAUAGGAUGCGGAAGUCUAUAUGAGGCUACCACAAAGUUAUUUUACACAUGAUCCUUUAUUGGUUUGCAAACUGAAUAAGAACUUGUUGGACUCAAACAAGCGUCUCGACAAUGGUUUGGAAAAAUCUAUACUAGCCUUAUCUCAUAUGGAUUUCAGUAGUCCAAGUCAAAUUCUUCUUUAUUUCUUCAAAUUACUGCCAUUCAUUCAUGGUCUUUUUGGUCUAUACAGAUGUAGACGAUGUCUUACUUGCCAAUAAUAGCCUCAAUGAAAUUCACAUUCUGAAGAAAUUCUUAGGUGACCAAUUCACAAUCAAGGAUUUAGGUGAGUUAAAGUAAAUCUUUGGAUUGGAGAUUGCUAGAUCACAGCCGGGGAUCAACCUUUGUUAGUAGAAAAUAUGCCAUAAAUAUAUUAGACGACUCUAGUUUUUCUGGCUGUAAACCAGUUGCUUUCCAAAUAGAAUCUACUCUCAAACUGAAAUCAGAAGCCCCCAAACUUUUAUUUGAUUCCUCAACCUAUAGAAGACUCAUUAGUAGAAUAUCUAUCUCACCAUUACUAGACCUGACUCGGCAUAUUCAAUCCAAGUCCUUACCAUUUUAUGUCUAAACCUGUUAGCCCCAUUUGGAUGUAGUUCAUAAGGUUUUUAGGUACAUUAAGGCUACCCCUGGUCAAUGCUUAUUCUUCCUUGCAAAUUAUGAGUUACAUCUCAAGGCUUACAGUAACAGUUGUUAGGCUGGUUGCCUUGAUACUAGGCGAAGUGUUACUUGCUUUGCUAUCUUUCUCGGCGAGUCUAUAAUUUCCUAGAAAUCCAAGAAACAACCUACGGUCAGCAGAUCCUCCGUUGAAGCUGAAUAUCGGGCACUAGCUUCUACAACCUGUGAGAUGCAAUGGCUUGUUUAUUUUUUACAAGACUUGGCUAUCCAUUGUCUUCAACCUACACUCUUGUAUACUAACAGCAAAUCAGCAUUCUCUAUUGCGAAUAAUCUAAUCUGGCACGAGAUCUAGCGGAAAUCCCUCGAUAAAUCUUGAUUUCGGGCUCAGAAAACAAUCAAACGAACACCGAUUUACCUCGAUUCGACCCAAGACUUUCACCUUCACUUUGGAUUGCUCUCUUUCUCUCUAACCCUAUAAAUGAGAAGGGUGGUGGUGUUAGCAAUCCACAAAAGUAUGAAGAGGAAGACAAAGAUAUCACAAUGGUUGAAUCUCACUCACAACCUCACAUGGCUUCCCUCUCUCUCGACUACCUUUCUUCUCUCAAUCUCCUCUCCAUUGCUACAACACACACACCAAAACGGCUGGGAGACACACACACACACACACACAUAUAUAUAUAUAGGUUAGUUUAGGUCACCAAAUAUGGGCCAAGAGAUCUCUAAAUGGGCUGCCAUAUAACCUAAAUUAAUGGGCUAAUUUCCAACUCCAUAUUAAUCACUAAAUGGUCCAACAAACCAAAUAAUCAUCCAACCCAAACUCAAGCCAUCCAAAAGUGUAGUUCGUCUCUGAGCCGAGCCAAGUCCAUGGUACCGAUAAAUAAUCCGACAACUGUUUUAAAUCAUCGCCCGAAUUAUUGGAUAUCAAAAAAUCCAACACGAGAAAACCAAACAUAUUCAAAUAGAUUGUCACCUUGUUCGAGAGAACUACAAUCUGGAUUAGUUAAAAUCAUCCAUGUUACUUUACAAAAUCAGCUGGCAGAUAUCUUAACUAAACCUCUUGGUUCUACCUUGUAUCACAGAAAUAUUUCCAAGAUGGGCUUCCUAAUGAGGGGGAUACUAUGAUGCAGAUUCAGUUGCUUCCUUCUCAGCUUCCACAUCAGCUAAGUCAGUUGCUUGCAUACCAAUUGGAAGACAGUAGAGUCAAUUAUGCUGGCAUGGUAGUUACGAAGCUUUCAGUUAGAUAGCUGGAUAGAUUCCGUUAGGUAGUUAAUGCUAUUAUUAGGCUCAAUUAUAAUGAUGUAUUUUUCCCUUUAUCUACCUGACAAAUGUAUUUAUUUUCAAUUCAAGAUUAAAAGUUUAGAAUUCGAUUUCUCUCCCUGUUUCUUUUCUUUAAUAGAGUUUAAUUCAAG